GUCUCUUUGUUAAUAUUUUAUAGAGAGUUGGGCCUGCCCGGUGAUAGUGAUAUUAUUUAACGGCCGCAGUAUUCUGACUGUGCGAAGGUAGCAUAAUCAUUUGCCUUAUAAUUGAAGGCUAGUAUGAAGGGUUUGACGAGAGUAAUACUGUCUUAAUUUAAUUUUUUGGAAUUUAACUUUUAAGUGAAAAGGCUUAAUAUAUAAUUAAUAGACAAGAAGACCCUAUUGAGCUUUAAAAAGAGUAUGAAUUUUAAAAUGUAGUUUUAUAAUUUAAUUUGUUGGUUUUUUUUGGUUGGGGUGAUCGGAGAACAUUAGUAACUUCUUUAAAUUAUUUAAUUUUAAUUGUGGUUUUUGAUCCAAUAAUGUGUUGAUGUUAGAUUUAGUUACCAUAGGGAUAACAGCAUAAUCUUUUUUGAGAGUUCUUAUCGAAAAAAAGGGUUGUGACCUCGAUGUUGGAUUAAAGUUUCCUAGGGGUGUAGAAGCUUUAUUAUAUAGGUUGGUCUGUUCGACCAUUAAAAUUUU
rnacentral:rRNA from 1 species